rnacentral:rRNA from 1 species
CAGUCGCCACGGUAAUACGUAGGUGGCAAGCGUUGUCCGGAUUUAUUGGGCGUAAAGCGAGCGCAGGCGGUUUCUUAAGUCUGAUGUGAAAGCCCCCGGCUCAACCGGGGAGGGUCAUUGGAAACUGGGAAACUUGAGUGCAGAAGAGGAGAGUGGAAUUCCAUGUGUAGCGGUGAAAUGCGUAGAUAUAUGGAGGAACACCAGUGGCGAAGGCGGCUCUCUGGUCUGUAACUGACGCUGAGGCUCGAAAGCGUGGGGAGCAAACAGGAUUAGAUACCCCCGUAGUCCCUGUCUCUUAUAC